AGCUGAAAAUAAAAUAGUAGGCCACGGCGUUGCGCUUGGAUGUCACUUCCUCCUGCUCGCGCCCGCCGCUUUUUUCCGUCCUCGCAAGCACAUUCCGACCUGCAUUUGGGACGGGCUCCGGCUCCAGGUUUCCAGCUCCGCGUCUUCUCCCCCAUCUGUGGGAGACCGUGACGCACGCAGAACAUGUACGCUUUCCUGCGGGCCUUUACCUUCAGACACUGUCAUCACAAAGCUGCUUUAUGGGAAAACUGGAAACAG